UAGUUAGGUGGGAUUACCUAUUGAAUUUAAGCACAGUGAUAAGUGGAGAAAAAGAAACUUACCAGGAUUCACUUAGUAACGAUGAAUGAACCGAGUAGAGCCUAGCUUGAGAAUCGAGCACCCAUGACAUCUGAAUUGUAGUUUAGAGAAGCAUCCUCAGUAGUAGACUAGGUCGAACUCCCUUGGAAAGGGCCACCAAGAAGGUAAGAGCCCCAUUGUGUUGAGACCUUGUCACACUACGAAGCAUUAUCUAUGAGUCGGGUUGUCUAAAAAUGUAACCCUAAUCGGGCUAUAAAUUCUGUGUGAGGCUAAAUACACUCGAGAGACAGAUAACGAACUAGUAUCAUAAGUGAAAGAUGAAAAAGACUUUGAAAAGAGAGUUAAAGAGUGCUUGAAAUUGUUAGGAAUAAAGCAGAUGGGGCUAGUAUGCACCCAGUCAAAUGUAAAAUGGCAAGAGCCAGUCUGUCGAUCGGUUUGGGGAGUGGACCAACUUAGGUCACAGCAGCAGCCCAAGCCCAAGCUUUUGAUAUGCCCUUAGAGACAUUGUCACCAUGAUUGUGGAAUGCAACACACACCACUUUGGUGUAACUUGGUACACACGUGCUCCUGACAUCAACCUAUAGGCUCUCAAUAUAGCCCGUCUUAAAACAUGAACUAAGGAGUCUAACAUGUGUGUGAGUCAAUGGGCUAGAAAACUCAUAAGACGUAAGGAAGUUGAUUGGUGGGAUACCUCGUGGGUGCAUUGCCUACCAACCUUGAUCUUCUAAAAAGGUUUAAGUGUGAGUAUGCUUGUCAAGACCUAAAAGAUGGUGAACCAUACCUGAGCAAGGUGAAGCCAAAAAAACUCUGGUGGAGGUCCAAAGUGAUAUUGAUGUUGAAAUCGUUCAUCUAACUUAGGUAUAGGGCAAAAAACUAAUCAAACCAUCUAGUAGCUAGUUCCUUUUGAAGUUUCCCUUAGGAUAGCUACACCCUUAGUGAGUUUUAUAGGGUAAAGUUAAUGAUUAGAGGCAUUAAGGGUGCAAUGCCCUUGACCUAUUCUUAAACUUUAAAUUGGUAGGAUGACGUUGCUACUUCAUUGAGCCAUGCCAUGGAAUCAAUAGCUCUAAGGGGGCCAUUUUUGGUAAGUAGAACUAGCAAGGUAGGUUGAAUUGAAAGUUGAGUUACAGUGCCCAACUACAUGUUAACUUAGAACCUACAAAGGGGUUGGUUAAUUAAGAUAGUAAGAUGGUGGUCAUAGAAGUCAAAAUCUACUAAAGAGUAUGUAACAACUCACCUACCAAUCAACUAGACCCAAAAAUGGAUGGUGCUUAAGCAUGUGACCUAUACCUGGCUAUCAGGGAAAGGAUCAGGCCCUGAUGAGUAAGAAGGCAAGGUGAUCAUUGAAAAACCCAGGGUAUGAGCCUGGGCAAAGCAACCAUCAGUGCAAAUUAUAGUGGUGGUAGCAAAUAUUCAAAUGAGAAAUUUGAAGGGUGAAAAGGGAAAAGGUUCUAUGUGAAUGAUACUUACACAUGGGUUAGUUGAUCCUAAGAUAUGGGGGAAAUUCAUCCGAUAGCGUGUCCAGUGUUAGCUUUCAAAAGGAAUUAGGUUAAAAUUCCUAAAGUAGAAUGCGGUAGCUAACAACAACAUUAAGGAGUCUAGAGACAUUGGUGAUGGCUCAGGAAGAGUUAUCUUUUUUGUUUAAUGGCCUACCCACCCUAGAAAUGGCUCAGCCAGAGGUAGGGUCUAGCAACUAGAAGAGCACUGCACAUCAUGCAAUGUCUACUGCACCCUUGAUAGUCGUUAAAAAUCUAGAGGAUCGAGUGCCAUCUGUGCUUGGUUUUACUCAUAAUCGCAUCAGGUCUCCUAGACGAAUAGCCUCUAGUCGAUGGAAUAAUGUAGGUAAGGGAAGUUAGCAAAAUGGAUCUAUAAGCUUAAGAAAAAGAUUGGCUUUGAAGGCUAGGCAUGGGGGUCCCAGUCUUGAACCCAUUGACUAUCAAUACAUUACUCUAGCUGUUCCCACAAUGUGAGUGGGUCAUAGCUUACUAGCUGAAGGAUGGACUAGGAAUACGUCCCUUGUGGGCCUUACUCGAGUGAUGAAUAAUUAACUCAGAAUUGGUAUAGGCAAAGUGAAUCUGACUAUUUAAUUAAAACAUAGCAUUGUGAUGGUCCUUGUAAAUGCUCAUAAAAUAUGAUUUUUGCCCAGUGCUUUAAUUGUUAAAGUGAAGAAAUUUAACUAAACACAGGUAAAUGGUAAGAGUAACUAUGACUCUCUUAAGGUAGCCAUAUGCCUUGUCAUCUAAUUAGUAAUAAGCAUGAAUGGAUUAAUAAGAUUCCCACUGUCUCGUCUACUAUCUGGUGAAACCAUAGCCAAGGGAAUGGGCUUGGUAUAUUCUGUGGGGAAAAAAGACCCUGUUGAGCUUAACUUUAGUUUGACUUUAUGAAAUGACUUAAUAAGUGUAGGAUAAGUGACAGCCCUCAAGUGAAAUUGAAAUACUACAACUUUUAAUGUUAUUUUACUUAUUCCAUGUAUCAGAGGUGGGGUAUGACUUUUGGACCUAAGGCCAACCUCAAUUGGUUGAUCCUAGCAAAAAACAUUGUUAGGUGAAGAGUUUAGCUGGGGUAGCACAUCUAUUAAAAGAUAAUGCAAGUGUCCUAAGAUGAGCUCAAUAAGAAUUGAAAUCUUUUAUGGAAUAAAAGGGUAAAAGCUCAUUUGAUUAUGAUUUACAGUAUGAAUAUGAAUCAUGAAAACAUGGCCUAUUAAUCCAUUAGACCUUCAAAAUUUCAAGCUAAAGGUGUCAAAAAAGUUACCUCAAGGAUAACUGGCUUGUGGCAGCCAAUCGUUCAUAGUGACAUUACUUUUUCAUCCUUUGAUGUAAGCUUUUCCUAUCAUUAUGAAGCAAAAUUCACCAUGUGUUUGAUUUUUUACCCACCAAUAGCAAUGUGAGCUUGGUUCAGACUAUCAUGAGAUAGGCUAGUUUUACCCUACUGAUGGUAGCAUCGCAAUAGUAAUUCAACCUAGUGUGAGAGGAACCAUUGAUUCUCACAAUUGGUAAUCACACUUGGUUGAAAAGUUGGUGGUGUGAAGCUACAAUGCACUAGAUUAUGACUAAAUGCCUCUAAGUCAGAAUCUAGGCUAGAAGUGAUGCAUGCACCUGUUGCCUAAUUGUUGACCUGCAAUAGGGCUAAUGCCCUUAAAGGCAUAUGUCAUAGGUGUAGCCCCUACAAUAGACAAGUUGAAUAGGCCUUCUUAGAGCUCAAUUCCCACCAAG
rnacentral:rRNA from 1 species